AGUGCAAUUGCUGGGUAAUACGGUAAUUGCAUGUUUAGUUUUAUAAGAAACCGCCAAACUGUUUUCCAAAGUGGUUGUACCAUUUUAUAUUCCCACCAGCAAU
rnacentral:pre_miRNA from 2 species